rnacentral:tRNA from 1 species
GCCCAGGUGGCGGAACUGGCAGACGCGCCACGUUGAGGUCGUGGUGGGAGUUACAUCCCUUGGAGGUUCGAAUCCUCUCCUGGGCAC